AAUAAAAAACAUCUCAGAGUACAGGCAUUAAAAGCUGCUUUAAAUCCAAAAUGACUCAAUAACUGGACUUAAAUUCAGUGGGUAAAAGUCGACACUACAAACAGCGUGCGAUCGUAUGAAGUGCUAAUGAAUUUAUGUUGCGUUUACUUUGUACCCCUCCCUCUUCGGAUUGUUUUUAGAAUAUAACAAACCAUAAAUUUCUGCCAACACAUACUUAGGAACAGUUUCUGUCUGAAAUAUACUACAGUCGUAAAAUACCAUUGGAACAAUGGUUGCAUGUAAUUUAGCUUAUUUUAGCCUCAGACGUCUAGACAUCCUUUGACCUGCAAAUCACCAAAUCAGUGCCUGCAGUGGUUUGAAGGCUCUUCGUCUCAGGAGGAACAGUUUUAUUUUUAAUUCAAAGUUGAGUGUUCGUAAUACAGUAUUCCACAGAUGCAGGUAAAAGUCUGCAGAGAUUACUUCCGAAAGAAGUGUUUCCAGAAAUCUGUCACUUGGUCAGAAUUUGAAAUAAUUACUUUUCGGACUGAUUUUUAUUUUUAGCUUUUUUGGUACGGAGGUUUUAAAUUAGAUUUUUUUUUAAUUCUGUCAUAGAAGGUGUUCUAGCAGUGGUUCCUGUGAUCGCGAUCGUUAAGUGAAGUCAUUUUUAAUGAUUAGUUAAAAAUCAACAUUUACUAGACACCAGGCGACCCCAAGUUUGAGCCACAACAACGCCAAGGUUGAAAAACGCCGCACUAAUUGGUCCUGCUUUUUCCUUUGUCAUUCCUGAGCUGCCAUUGUUCUGAUGUCAUCGCAUGUGCUCCGUGUUCCUAUUGGCCGCUGACAAUGUAGCUGAAGCUUCUUAGGUUUAUAAUAAGAAAACAGAUUUUUAGUAAGACGUUCUCAAACACCUCUCUGUCUCUCAGCUCUUCCUUGUCCGUUACACUUCUUUUCUCUCCUCCUCCUCCUCCUCCUCCUCCGUUCUUUCCCAGUUCCAUCCAUUACUGAUUAUCAUAUGUAACGUUCGCUGAGGGAAGAGGCGGGAGAGCCUUAAGCCACCAGACCCUUCUCCGACAUGAAAGCAGGCCCUUCAUCUGCUCCACAUUAUUGGCACACAGACAUUUUAAGACAUCUUUUCUUAUUUUUCAAACAAUAGAGCAUUUGAUUUAUGGAGUGGCAUUAGAAUUUCUUGAGCCAAUCACCGCACAUGAAACGAUAAGGAGAGCGAGCGAGGAGUGAGAGAAUUGAAUUUCUCUUCACGUUUCUCUUGUGGUUCCCUCCCCUUCAAGUCUGGCUAGCCUUUUUUUUUGUGACUCUAGUUAGAUCUUUGCAGGAUUUUGGCCGAGACACUGUCACCUUAAAAAUCCUUUCCUGGACUUUUUUUUUUGUUUUGUUUUUUCUUUUGAUCAUUUUGAACGCUAUUAGUUCCCAGAUGUUUAACCCUGACCUCCAUUUGGCUUUUGUCUUGGCUCAGAGUAUGAUAGGACUUAGAACUGGCCUCAUCCACUGAGGUCACUCUGUGGAGGAUUAGUGUGUGUCUGAUACUGUGACGAAGCUGGAAAUGACAUUGAAGCUAAAUAUAACAAUCUAUUAUGAGAGCGAGAACUGUUUUUUUUUUGCUGAUUUUUCAGGUUCCUAAUAUGCAGCCCUGGGACUUUCACAGGCAGCGCUAUAGAACUGUUAUUAAAAACUGGAUCAAAGCACGGGAAGUACAUCCAAGAUCCUUUGAACCAGAGACUACAAUGGUUUGAAAAGGACUCCAAAGUAAUGAAAGUCUAAAAGAAAAUGGACUAAAUCGCACAUUUUAAGGAGAGACUGUGAAGUAGAAAAUGAUGUUAAAUCGAUUUCACCCCAUUUUAAAAAUUAACAGGCAAAAAUAUAGUCCACUAAAACAGUGUUUCCCAAAGACUGGGUCGGGACCCUCAGCUUUUGUUGUUAUAGUUCACCUAAUCUACCAAACUACUCAGGCUAACCUUUAGCUUUUUUUGCUACUUUUGGAUACUUGUCCAUAAAUAAAUCCAUAUCAAUUAUUCUGUAAACUGAAA